rnacentral:rRNA from 1 species
GAAACGAAAGAAGGGCAUACGGAGGAUGCCUAGGCUCUGCAAGGCGACGAAGGACGUGAUAAGCUGCGAAAAGCUGCGGGGAGGUGCAAAUAACCCUUGAUCCGCAGAUGUCCGAAUGGGGCAACCCACCAGCAAUGGUACCUCGGAUGAGGAGCGAACCCUCUGAACUGAAACAUCUAAGUAGGAGGAGGAAGAGAAAACAACAGUGAUACCGCAAGUAGUGGCGAGCGAACGCGGCACAGCCCAAACCCAUGGCGUUUCGGCGUGAUGGGGGUUGUAGGACUGCGAGAUAUGACUACGCAAAGAAUUGGAACGGCAUGGAAAGGCCGGUCAGAGAGGGUGAGAACCCCGUACAAGCAAAGUGCGUAGGAGUUAGCAGGAUCCUGAGUAGAUCGGGGCACGAGAAACCCAGAUUGAAACCGGCGGGACCACCCGCCAAGGCUAAACACUCUGCAGAGACCGAUAGCGAACCAGUACCGUGAGGGAAAGGUGAAAAGCACCUUGAAUAAAGGAGUGAAAAAGACCCUGAAACCGUGUGCCUACAAGCGGUCGGAGCGGCGCGAUGCCGUGACGGCGUGCCUUUUGCAUAAUGAUCCUACGAGUUACUGUUACCGGCAAGGUUAAGCACCUCAGGUGCGUAAGCCGCAGCGAAAGCGAGUCUUAAAAGGGCGCCAAAGUCGGUAGGAGUAGACGCGAAACCUUGUGAUCUACCCAUGGCCAGGUUGAAGUGGGGGUAACACCCCAUGGAGGACCGAAUCGGUAAGCGUUGAAAAGCUUUCGAAUGAGCUGUGGGUAGGGGUGAAAGGCCAAUCAAACUGGGAAAUAGCUCGUACUCCCCGAAAUGCAUUUCGGUGCAGCGUCGGAGUGAGUUUUACAUAGGUAGAGCUACUGAUUGAAUGCGGGGGCUUCACCGCCUACCAAUUUCAGACAAACUCCGAAUGGUGUAAAACAUCUCCGGCAGUGAGGGCAUGGGUGCUAAGGUCCGUGCCCGAGAGGGAAACAACCCAGACUAUCAGCUAAGGUCCUUAAAUGUAUGCUAAGUUGCAAAAACGAAGUAGGACUGCACAGACAGCCAGGAAGUUGGCUUGGAAGCAGCCAUUCUUUUAAAGAGUGCGUAACAGCUCACUGGUCGAGCGGUUCUGCAUGGAGAAUAAGCGGGCAUAAGCAUACUACCGAAGCUAUAGCAAAGCGAUUUGGGUAGGGGAGCAUUGCGUAUGCGGCGAAGCGGACUUGUAAAGGUUCGUGGAGCGUACGGAAAAGCAAAUGUAGGAAUAAGUAACGAGAAAGCGGGCGAGAAACCCGCUCACCGAAAAACCAAGGGUUCCCCGGCUAUGUUAAUCAGCCGGGGGUCAGUCGGGACCUAAGGCUAACCCGAAGACAGGAGAAGCCGAUGGACAAACGUUUAAUAUUACGUUACUGGAAUAGAGUGCGACGGGGCGACCCGGUACUACCUCUCCGCGCGCAGACGGAAUAGCGCGUUAAAGGUCAAAGCGGGCCGUGCGGCAAAUCCCACGGCGGAAAGUGAUGACCGACAGUACGCGGCGGCUUCGGCCAAAGCGAUAGCGAGACGAAAAGCCGGCAAGAAAAACCUCUAAGCUACAGCUUUAUUCCACCCGUACCGUAAACCGACACAGGUGGUUGGGAAGAGAAUUCUAAGGUGCUCGAGAGAAUCAUGGCUAAGGAACUAGGCAAAAUGACCCUGUAACUUCGGGAAAAAGGUCACCGCAGCGAUGCGGUCUCAGGAAAAAGGUCCAGGCGACUGUUUAACAAAAACACAGGACUUUGCUAAAUCGAAAGAUGAUGUAUAAGGUCUGACACCUGCCCGGUGCUGGAAGGUUAAGAGGAGAUGUGAAUCGCAAGAGGCAGCAUUGAAUUGAAGCCCCAGUAAACGGCGGCCGUAACUAUAACGGUCCUAAGGUAGCGAAAUUCCUUGUCGGGUAAGUUCCGACCUGCACGAAUGGUGUAACGAUCCGGACACUGUCUCAGUCAUGAUCUCGGUGAAAUUGUAGUAUCGGUGAAGAUGCCGAUUACCCGCUGCGGGACGAAAAGACCCCGUGAACCUUCACUACAACUUAAUAUUGUUUUCGGGUAAGUGAUGCGUAGGAUAGGUGGGAGGCUGUGAAGCGGGUACGCCAGUAGUCGCGGAGCCACUGUUGAAAUACCACCCUUUACUUAUUUGGGAUCUAACUCCGCAGAGAGCGGAGGACACUGUUUGGUGGGUAGUUUGACUGGGGUGGUCGCCUCCAAAAAGAUAACGGAGGCUUCCAAAG